rnacentral:rRNA from 1 species
GCAAGACCAAAGAGGGGGACCUUCGGGCCUCUUGCCAUCGGAUGUGCCCAGAUGGGAUUAGCUAGUUGGUGAGGUAACGGCUCACCAAGGCGACGAUCCCUAGCUGGUCUGAGAGGAUGACCAGCCACACUGGAACUGAGACACGGUCCAGACUCCUACGGGAGGCAGCAGUGGGGAAUAUUGCACAAUGGGCGCAAGCCUGAUGCAGCCAUGCCGCGUGUAUGAAGAAGGCCUUCGGGUUGUAAAGUACUUUCAGCGGGGAGGAAGGGAGUAAAGUUAAUACCUUUGCUCAUUGACGUUACCCGCAGAAGAAGCACCGGCUAACUCCGUGCCAGCAGCCGCGGUAAUACGGAGGGUGCAAGCGUUAAUCGGAAUUACUGGGC